rnacentral:rRNA from 1 species
UAGAGUUUGGAUCCUGGCUCAGAACGAACGCUGGCGGCAGGCCUAACACAUGCAAGUCGAGCGCGCCCUUCGGGGUGAGCGGCGGACGGGUUAGUAACGCGUGGGAAUAUGCCCAAAGGUACGGAAUAGCCUCUGGAAACGGAGAGUAAUACCGUAUGUGCCCUUCGGGGGAAAGAUUUAUCGCCUUUGGAUUAGCCCGCGUUAGAUUAGGUAGUUGGUGGGGUAAUGGCCUACCAAGCCUACGAUCUAUAGCUGGUUUUAGAGGAUGAUCAGCAACACUGGGACUGAGACACGGCCCAGACUCCUACGGGAGGCAGCAGUGGGGAAUCUUGGACAAUGGGGGCAACCCUGAUCCAGCCAUGCCGCGUGAGUGAUGAAGGCCUUAGGGUCGUAAAGCUCUUUCGCCU